UAGUGUCAUGCACUGGGGAACAUCGUAUAUCAUGAACUCAACCAUGGGAGGAUUCUUCCUCGGAUAAAAGUUGAAGCUUUGAACGAAAAUAUUGGUGAGGAGGAGGUAUUGUGAGCACUUAUCUUCAACGAAUGCAGUAAGACCUGCAUUCUCCACCAAGUAAUAAAAGUCUUCAUUAAGUCCGGCGGCGCGCAAAAAUUCAUCACUUGGCCACUUGCACGCUCGAACUUCUGUGACUCGAGGGACUACGUACUUGGGGUGGUUCUU
rnacentral:lncRNA from 1 species